CACGAUGACAGUGAAGUAUAUCAAGCUGGUGCUAAAAGAAGGACUCUUAACCCCUCUAUUCCUCAUAAGGAGAGCUUGGAGUCUGAAGAUUUUUCUGCAAAGUAGGUUUCCCUUUGGCUCUAAUUCAUGAUAUUUGGUAACUUGUUGUUGUUGUAGUUAUAUUGAUAACCUGGUGAUUUCAGAUACCAACAAAAAUUUAUUUGCCUAUAUUACGGUUGCAGAAGUCCUUGUGGAUAUCCUAUACAGUAUAAAUAUGAACCACCACUUGGUGGAUCGCUGCUGUUUAGAGCUCUGCUCUGUUAAUGCUACUUUGAGUCUAGAUGGCAUUAACUACAGAGAAGGGAUCUAGCUAGGUUUGCAAUGGCAUGUGUACUAACGAAUCAUUUUAGUCUCAGGUUUUCCCUGCAAAACUGAAGUUCAUGUCUCAUGUUUGGAUUAAUCACGGUGUAGUCUGAUGGUAAUUUGUCUACUUAGUGCAGUUUAUGUAUUCUUCCACAACUUCAUUUAAUGCUUUCAGAGUUAAAGUUUUGGGGAUAGUUUGGAUGUUAUACCCAAGGCAUUAUAAUUGCUCUAUAUUAUUCUUAAUUUCAUAUAUCAUCACCUUAGACUACUCGAACUGUCGGCCAUGCUUUGUGAUCAUGUGCGACGAGCAUAUUGUUCGGUGCUGCUAUUUUCCAUUCGCUGCUGGGUUGCUUCUACUCUCCACCAAUCUGUCAAGUAGCAAAGAGUAGGUUUGACCUCAAUUUCGAUGCAGACAUGGAUUGGGAUGUGAUGCAUGUACUUGCUAAUUAAGGGAUUUGGAUCUUGCCCUCAAUUAGAGUUCCCAAUCUCAACGAAGUGGGGUUUACGAAUUUUAUUAUUUUUUAGCUUGAAUGGACUGUAGCUUCGCUUAAUUGACUGACAGUUGUAUUUGACUGCAUAACUGGAUUAAUUGAUUUCAUGGCAGAUGCCGGUUUUGACCUUGGUUGAUCAUGCUUUGUUCCUUGUUUGGCCUGCAACAUAUUUUCUAUGCAUUCGCAGAAAUGGUUUAUCUUGGACAUGAUUCUCAAAGAAGAUACAGAUGUGCAUGCUUCAUAUCUUCUACACGCUUAUGCAAAGCAGGAUUUUAUUCAUAUUUUGAUGAGCUUAAUUUCUUAUGCUAAUGUUUGCUUCCGCCUGAAGGAUACAUAUGGUAUGUUUUGUGAGCGGUGGGUAUGGAUGAGGUGAGUGCGUCUGUUAGUGCAUCAUUUUUGUUGGAUACUUUAAUCUGUUAAGGUUGGUAUAUAUUGAGUGUUGAUGAUGACAUGUUUAUUUUGAUUGGCGUGGUUGCCUCAAAGUAAUGCCCUGCUACUCCUUGGGGGGCGUGAGUGAAGAUUUAUGCCUUAAGCAUAGGAAUGAGGGAGUAGGUAUCCAACAGAAUAGGCGAUGAUGCUAGGAGAAAAAGAAGACUUUGAUCUGGUUCUUCAAAGAGGUACAUCAAGGAACAAGUACAUGGUGCUACUCGAUGGUCAGCCAGAUUCUGACUAUUAUUUUGGGAUGCCAAAGAGAUAGCACAUGAUGUUCGACCGCUGGGGAAUUGAAGUAUAGUGCUUACCAAUAUACUGGCAUGUAUUUUUUUCUAAAGGAUAUAGUGGUUUCCUUUAGUUGAAAUACAUAAAAUUUUCACCCCCAAUGAUUCAACAAGAGUUGUUCAUUAAAAGUGUGUGGUCUCUUUCUUCAUCAAGAAUUGAAAUAUCUGUGCUAUUAUAACUCCAUGGAGAGCAAUAAUAUAAUUUUCACAAGGGGUGACCUUUAUUGGCUAA